GAGAAUAGUAUGUGUGUGUUGUAAAUAUGAUCUAAAAGAACUUUGAGAAUCCAAAAUGCAGUUUAGAAGAUGCAGUGCACUGUAAUUAGGGGUUUCAACUACGUUAUUGACCAAGCCUUACAUGGGACCCAUAUAAGCACUUGGAGUUAAAAAGUUUAUGAACUUUUAACUUGUCCCUUACUAUGCCAAAUACAGAGAAAUUGAGGCAUAAACAGAGAAUUAUUUUUCUCUCCAUUUCUUUCAGCCUUGUAAAAACCCUGUCUUAAAUUUAAAAGCUGACUCCCCCCUAUCCCCCUCCCCAUCUUCCCCACAGCAUUUCUAUGAAAUGUUUGUGUCAUUGUGAGUUUAAAGACUAGGGAAGUGCAAUGAGUGGUAAAAAAUGGCAACAAGAAAAGAUUUUGGUUACUUUUAUGAAAAUUAAAUAUUUCUUACCUUUCCUUUUUUUCUUCAUCUUCUCUUAGGCCACCACUAAGUUUUAAUUUAGAGGGCAUCCCCUAUUCUGCUUUUGUCUACAUGAAAAGCAUUUUUUGCUGCUGAAAAUAGCUCCUGUGAAAAUAGAAGCGGAAUCGGCAAAAUUGUUCCUAAAAUCACUUACACUUUUACUUUCAUUCUUUCACUUGGUUGAAUUAAUACAGAAAACACUUGUGUGAAAAGACAAAUGUUGUGCUAAAAGUAUGUGAAAUCUGAGCAAAACAGGAAAGGCUAAUAACCUUGCCCUUGAGGUUUUUUAGCAGUUUCAUGAGAUAGGCAUGAAUGUACUUACAGCUGCACAUCUUGAUACUGGAGAGGAUAUUCAUGAAGCCAAAGCUGUGAUUAUCAUCUCUGUGCAUAAGACUUCCAGACUCACUUCUCCACUCUCUCUGCUCAGUUUUGCAUCUUGAGCUGCCUUUCUGACAUAUCAAGCAAGACAUACCAAAUCAUCAAUAUUUUUGUAUUCUGUAUAGCAUGGGGAACAAUUUUAAAUGCUCAAAUGAUAAUAGUAAUGUUGAUCUUGCUUUAACAUCUCUUGUUUAGAACAUUUUCACUGAUCUCAGUACUUAAGUUUUUUCAGGUGAUUAAGAAAAACUGUGGAUAUAACAAUAUUCACAGAUAUUGACUUUUAUUUUCCUCCGCCGUCCAGCAACUUUAUAUUAAUAUCCAGCACAUCUAUAACAUCAAAUGAGUUAUUGUUGCUGUCCUCCUUUCCCAUACUGUCCAAUGUCUAUCAACAUUAGUCAGUAAGAGGAUGACAACAAUAUGGAAAUAUUAUACAGCUGAGGUAUCAAACUUGCCGCAGGCCCUUGGU
rnacentral:lncRNA from 1 species